UUUAUCUUUUCCCUUUUAAACACCAAAUAAAAUCCUCCUGCUCUCUUUUUUUUUUUCUCCUCUUUUCUUUCUUUCUUUGUUUUUUCGUAAAUUUGGACCUGACUCUUAUGAUGAGAUCUUAUUAAUCUGACUCUUAUGAUGAGAUCUUAUUAACAUAAUUGGGUUUAGGGUUUGGAUGAUAUCGAUGCGUUAUGGCAGGAGUUGGAAUUCGGAACAUAUUGAAGCUUAUCGUUUUUCCAUUCAGAAGAAUCCAAUACAUUAUUGAUCAAUAAGAAAUCACGCUUGAGAUUUGGGUUACAAAAUUAAAGCCCCACGGGAACCGACCCCUGUUUUUAGUUUUUGCCAAGGAGGAGGCUGGUGAGCCAAAAGAGUGGCAUCUCUAGGCUUGAAUCAUAACCCCACAGAGCUGUUAUGUCGGCCUUGAAUCUCUUAAUCUGGUAGUUUUAACCAAGAGCUACCGCUUCCCACCAAAAUUUCUAAAUGGAGAUUGGCAGACAGAAACUUCAGCCACGACGGAGGCGGCGGGGGAAUGGAUGUGGUGGGAGUGAAAUCAGCGUCCAAGAGCUUCAUUUGCUCAUUCUCAAUGGAGGUUGUCAGAGGAAAAGACAGACACUCCAACGUAUUAAAGGGACAAAUGACUGUAAACAUGAGAAUUCAAAAUCACGCAUUAUUAAAAGGGAGCCAAGUUUUCAGAUUAAAGUUUUUACUCCUUGGAAGCUAUAAAAUGCGGAACCUUGAAACCGUAACCUUGGAGGAGCUGAUAUCUUUGUAGAGGAAAAAAAGGAAAAUGCAAGCGAGAAAGAGAAACUUCAAGCUAGCAGUGGCAGCGAGAAUGCAAUGCAGAACAUCGCAGACACACCAUCAGAGAAAAAGGUUGAAAAGUGUAAACAGACGCAUGAAAAGGUUAAGACUGGAGAUGAAAGAAAUAAGUGAAGAGCAAAAAGAGAUAAAAGUUGGGCAAAAAUGGUAAGAGAAAAUUUGAAGCCAUUGAAUUAGAAUGCGAGGAACUUCGAAAGGAGACUAUCCUUAUAACACAACAAACUGCGAACACUCAAAUCCGCCUUGCUCUUAUGUUCCAAAUCUUGAAAGCUAGACAAAACCAAGAGCUUGACAAGGCAACCAUACUCACGCAUGCUCUUCGUGACUUGAUAGAGAGAGGGAACCAACAAAGGAAGCUUUGACGGCAGAGGAUCUUGCUGCUACAUUAUGGUCCUCAUCGUAUUGUAUUUUUUUUUUUUAAUAAUUUCAGGAAGUGUGGACAUGUUUGUUUGUAAAGUUGCCUUCAAAUGGGUCUCUUCCUUUGUUUGGUUUGGUUGUUGUUUACCAUCUGUUUGGUCUUGGUCAUGGACAUGGUUGAUUUACUUAACUCAUAUUGAAUUAUCUUUAAUGCAAAA